UACGUAGGGCGCAAGCGUUGUCCGGAAUUAUUGGGCGUAAAGCGCGCGCAGGCGGUAUAUUAAGUCUGGUGUUUAAGCCCAGGGCUCAACCCUGGUUCGCACUGGAAACUGGUAGACUGGAGUGUAGGAGAGAAAAGUGGAAUUCCACGUGUAGCGGUGAAAUGCGUAGAGAUGUGGAGGAACACCAGUGGCGAAGGCGACUUUCUGGCCUAUAACUGACGCUGAGGCGCGAAAGCGUGGGGAGCAAACAGG
rnacentral:rRNA from 1 species